GACGAACGCUGGCGGCGUGCCUAAUACAUGCAAGUCGAGCGGAGUAAAAGCGUGCUUGCACGGUUUUAUUAGCGGCGAACGGGUGAGUAACACAUAGGUAACCUGGCCAUAAGACAGGGAUAACGCACGGAAACGUGAGCUAAAACCAGAUAGGCAUUUCCACGCAUGAGGGAGAUGAGAAAAGGCGGAGCAAUCUGCCGCUUAUGGAUGGACCUGCGUCGCAUUAGCUAGUUGGAGUGGUAAAGGCACACCAAGGCGACGAUGCGUAGCCGACCUGAGAGGGUGAGCGGCCACACUGGGACUGAGACACGGCCCAGACUCCUACGGGAGGCAGCAGUAGGGAAUCUUCCGCAAAUGGACGAAAAGUACUGACGGAGCAACGCCGCGUGAGUGAAGAAAGGUUUCGGUA
rnacentral:rRNA from 1 species